CGGCGGACGGGUGAGUAACACGUGGGUAACCUACCUAUAAGACUGGGACAACUUCGGGAAACCGGAGCUAAUACCGAUAAGAUAUCGAACCGCAUGGUUCGAUAGUGAAAGAUGGUUUUGCUAUCACUUAUAGAUGGACCCGCGCCGUAUUAGCUAGUUGGUGAGGUAACGGCUCACCAAGGCAACGAUACGUAGCCGACCUGAGAGGGUGAUCGGCCACACUGGAACUGAGACACGGUCCAGACUCCUACGGGAGGCAGCAGAA
rnacentral:rRNA from 1 species